GGGCGAAUGGCGGAAUUGGUAGACGCACCACACUCAAAAUGUGGCGGCUUAGGUCAUGUGGGUUCAAGUCCCACUUCGCCCA
rnacentral:tRNA from 1 species